GACGAACGCUGGCGGCGUGCUUAACACAUGCAAGUCGAACGGAAAGGCCCUGCUUUUGUGGGGUGCUUGAGUGGCGAACGGGUGAGUAACACGUGAGUAACUUGCUCUUGACUUUGGGAUAACUUCAGGAAACUGGGGCUAAUACCGGAUAGGAGCUCCUGCUGCAUGGUGGGGGUUGGAAAGUUUCGGCGGUUGGGGAUGGACUCGCGGCUUAUCAGCUUGUUGGUGGGGUAGUGGCUUACCAAGGCUUUGACGGGUAGCCGGCCUGAGAGGGUGACCGGCCACAUUGGGACUGAGAUACGGCCCAGACUCCUACGGGAGGCAGCAGUGGGGAAUAUUGCACAAUGGGCGGAAGCCUGAUGCAGCAACGCCGCGUGCGGGAUGACGGCCUUCGUGUUGUAAACCGCUUUCGCCUGUGACGAAGCGUGAGUGACGGUAAUGGGUAAAGAAGCACCGGCUAACUACGUG
rnacentral:rRNA from 1 species